rnacentral:rRNA from 1 species
UACGAAGGCAGCAGUGGGGAAUAUUGCACAAUGGGCGCAAGCCUGAUGCAGCCAUGCCGCGUGUAUGAAGAAGGCCUUCGGGUUGUAAAGUACUUUCAGUCGUGAGGAAGGUGUUAAGGUUAAUAACCUUAGCAAUUGACGUUAGCGACAGAAGAAGCACCGGCUAACUCCGUGCCAGCAGCCGCGGUAAUACGGAGGGUGCGAGCGUUAAUCGGAAUUACUGGGCGUAAAGGGCACGCAGGCGGUUAAUUAAGUUGGAUGUGAAAUCCCCGGGCUUAACCUGGGAAUGGCAUUCAAGACUGGUUAGCUAGAGUCUUGUAGAGGGGGUAGAAUUCCAUGUGUAGCGGUGAAAUGCGUAGAGAUGUGGAGGAAUACCGGUGGCGAAGGCGGCCCCUGGACAAAGACUGACGCUCAUGUGCGAAAGCGUGGGGAGCGAAAACAGGGAUUAGAUACC